rnacentral:rRNA from 1 species
CCUACGGGGGGCAGCAGUGGGGAAUAUUGCACAAUGGGCGCAAGCCUGAUGCAGCCAUGCCGCGUGUGUGAAGAAGGCCUUCGGGUUGUAAAGCACUUUCAGCGGGGAGGAAGGCGUUAAGGUUAAUAACCUUGGCGAUUGACGUUACCCGCAGAAGAAGCACCGGCUAACUCCGUGCCAGCAGCCGCGGUAAUACGGAGGGUGCAAGCGUUAAUCGGAAUUACUGGGCGUAAAGCGCACGCAGGCGGUCUGUCAAGUCGGAUGUGAAAUCCCCGGGCUCAACCUGGGAACUGCAUUCGAAACUGGCAGGCUAGAGUCUUGUAGAGGGGGGUAGAAUUCCAGGUGUAGCGGUGAAAUGCGUAGAGAUCUGGAGGAAUACCGGUGGCGAAGGCGGCCCCCUGGACAAAGACUGACGCCCAGGUGCGAAAGCGUGGGGAGCAAACAGGAUUAGAUACCCCGGUAGUC